rnacentral:rRNA from 1 species
AUUGAUUAUGACGUACUUGUACUGAUUGAGAUUUUAACACGAAGUGAGUGGCGAACGGGUGAGUAACACGUGGGUAACCUGCCCAGAAGUAGGGGAUAACACCUGGAAACAGAUGCUAAUACCGUAUAACAGAGAAAACCGCAUGGUUUUCUUUUAAAAGAUGGCUCUGCUAUCACUUCUGGAUGGACCCGCGGCGUAUUAGCUAGUUGGUGAGGUAAAGGCUCACCAAGGCAGUGAUACGUAGCCGACCUGAGAGGGUAAUCGGCCACAUUGGGACUGAGACACGGCCCAGACUCCUACGGGAGGCAGCAGUAGGGAAUCUUCCACAAUGGACGCAAGUCUGAUGGAGCAACGCCGCGUGAGUGAAGAAGGGUUUCGGCUCGUAAAGCUCUGUUGUUAAAGAAGAACGUGGGUAAGAGUAACUGUUUACCCAGUGACGGUAUUUAACCAGAAAGCCACGGCUAACUACGUGCCAGCAGCCGCGGUAAUACGUAGGUGGCAAGCGUUAUCCGGAUUUAUUGGGCGUAAAGCGAGCGCAGGCGGUCUUUUAAGUCUAAUGUGAAAGCCUUCGGCUCAACCGAAGAAGUGCAUUGGAAACUGGGAGACUUGAGUGCAGAAGAGGACAGUGGAACUCCAUGUG